UGUCCAGGGAUGGAAAUCGAACCCACAGUGUUUCACUUACCAGGCAGAUGCCAUGUCCUCUAGGCUAUCCUGGGC
rnacentral:tRNA from 1 species